AACGAACGUUAGCGGCGCGCUUAACACAUGCAAGUCGCACGAGAAAGGGAGCAAUCCCCAGUAAAGUGGCGCACGGGUGAGUAACACGUAGGUAAUCUGCCCCCAAGUGGUGGAUAACUUCUCGAAAGGGAAGCUAAUACAGCAUGAGACCACGGUCGCGAAAGCGACUGAGGUCAAAGCCGGCCUCUUCAUGAAAGCUGGCGCUAGGGGAUGAGCCUGCGGCCCAUCAGGUAGUUGGUAGGGUAAUGGCCUACCAAGCCGAAGACGGGUAGCUGGUCUGAGAGGAUGAUCAGCCACACUGGAACUGAGACACGGUCCAGACUCCUACGGGAGGCAGCAGUGGGGAAUCUUGCGCAAUGGGCGAAAGCCUGACGCAGCGACGCCG
rnacentral:rRNA from 1 species